ACAUUGCACUAGGGGGGCCUUGCGGCUGAGAUGAAUCGAACGAUUCGGACCCUUUGAACCUGAUCUGGAUUAUACCAGCGGAGGGAAGUGGAGCGGCCUAUCA
rnacentral:ncRNA from 2 species